GCUAGGUGGGCCUGGCGACGGUUGUCCAGGUUCAAGUGCGUAGGCUUAAGAGUUAGGUAAAUCCGGCUCUUUUUAAGGCUGAGACACGACGUCGAGCACCUACGGGUGUGAAGUCAUUGAUGCCAUGCUUCCAGGAAAAGCCUCUAAGCUUCAGAUUGUAAGGAAUCGUACCCCAAACCGACACAGGUGGUCGGGUAGAGAAUACCAAGGCGCUUGAGAGAACUCGGGUGAAGGAACUAGGCAAAAUGGUACCGUAACUUCGGGAGAAGGUACGCUCUUGAUGG
rnacentral:rRNA from 1 species